GUGGCUCAGUGGUAGAGUGCUUGCCUUGCAUGCAUGAGACCCUGGGUUCAAUUCCUCAGC
rfam:Dipodomys ordii contig_37211, whole genome shotgun sequence.